UACGGGGGGGGCAAGCGUUGUUCGGAAUUACUGGGCGUAAAGGGUUCGUAGGUGGCCAACUAAGUCAGACGUGAAAUCCCUCAGCUUAACCGGGGAACUGCGUCUGAUACUGGAUGGCUUGAGUUUGGGAGAGGGAUGCGGAAUUCCAGGUGUAGCGGUGAAAUGCGUAGAUAUCUGGAGGAACACCGGUGGCGAAGGCGGCAUCCUGGACCAACACUGACACUGAGGAGCGAAAGCGUGGGGAGCAAACAGG
rnacentral:rRNA from 1 species